UUUUUCCUCUCAAUUUGCUGCUGUUCAAUUCGUUUUUGAGGGUCAGUAGUGGUUGUGUCGCAAAUUUCGAAUAAUGGGAUGGUUAGGUAGGUGGUGUACGUUUCCAUAAAUAAUGGUAUAAGUAUGUACACAUGGCAUGACCUUCUCGAAAUGCUUCUCCACGUCUUCGUCUUUGCAUUCCGAAUUAUAAUUGCGUGGC
ensembl:ncRNA D1044.12 ncRNA